rnacentral:rRNA from 1 species
UACGAAGGGGGCUAGCGUUGUUCGGAUUUACUGGGCGUAAAGCGCGUGUAGGCGGGUCGUUAAGUUAGGGGUGAAAUCCCGGAGCUCAACUCUGGAACUGCCUUUGAAACUGGUGAUCUUGAGUACGGGAGAGGUGAGUGGAAUUCCCAGUGUAGAGGUGAAAGUCGUAGAUAUUGGGAAGAACAGCGGUGGCGAAGGCGGCUCACUGGCCCGUAACUGACGCUCAGGCGCGAUAGCGUGGGGAUCAAACAGG